rnacentral:tRNA from 1 species
GCUCAGGUGGUGAAAUUGGUAGACACAUCGGCUUUAGGCGCCGGUGCCCGUAAGGGCGUAGGGGUUCGAGUCCCCUCUUGAGCA